rnacentral:rRNA from 1 species
UGGCACCUACGGGGCGCAGCAGUGGGGGAUAUUGCACAAUGGGGGAAACCCUGAUGCAGCGACGCCGCGUGAGCGAUGAAGUAUUUCGGUAUGUAAAGCUCUAUCAGCAGGGAAGAAAAUGACGGUACCUGACUAAGAAGCCCCGGCUAACUACGUGCCAGCAGCCGCGGUAAUACGUAGGGGGCAAGCGUUAUCCGGAUUUACUGGGUGUAAAGGGAGCGUAGACGGCGCUGCAAGUCCGGAGUGAAAGCCCAUGGCUUAACCAUGGUACUGCCCUGGAAACUGUGGAGCUUGAGUGCGGGAGG